rnacentral:rRNA from 1 species
CCCUUAGAUGUUCUGGGCCGCACGUGCGCUACACUGACGGAGGCAGCGAGCGUGUCCUUCGCCGAGAGGUGUGGGGAAUCUUGUGAGUCUCCGUCGUGCUGGGGAUAGAUGGUUGCAAUUGUCGAUCUUGAACGAGGAAUUCCUAGUAAGCGCGAGUCAUCAGCUCGCGCUGAUUACGUCCCUGCCCUUUGUACACACCGCCCGUCGCUACUACCGAUUGGAUGGUUUAGCGAGAACUUUGGACCGGAGCUCGGGUGGUCAGCAAUGGCCGCCCGAGACAUACUGGGAAAUCGCUCCAGCUUGAUCAUCUAGAGGAAGUAAAAGUCGUAACA